GUAUACACGGACCUAGAUAAAUUUAGGGCUGACCGGCCACGGCCAGCGAUCAGCGAGCCCACGUCAGGUCUCCGUAGGGGCCCGAGUUAAAUUAACUCCCGUAAGACGGAUCCAGUCUCCACUCAUCUACACAUAUUCCAGUACGAAUGGGUGAGGGUAUCCCUGUUGGUUAAACGAAAUUUCAGCAGUUAUUUCCGUGUUUGUCUUUGUGUCGAACGUUUUGGUGUUUCUUUUUGGUUAGGGAUAAUUUUGAGUAUAGCUAUUUAUUAAUAAGAAAUUUGAAAUUGUCAAUGUAUAAUUAUUAAAGCUUGGAUAUAGACUGAAGUAUGAUGCAUUAAAUUUAAAAUAGAGGGAGGACGCGUGGCGUAAGCCAUGGAUUAGGCCAGCCGUUACCGUUCCAG